GAUGAACGCUGGCGGCGUGCCUAAUACAUGCAAGUCGAGCGAACAGACGAGGAGCUUGCUCCUCUGACGUUAGCGGCGACGGGUGAGUAACACGUGGAUAACCUACCUAUAAGACUGGGAUAACUUCGGGAAACCGGAGCUAAUACCGGAUAAUAUAUUGAACCGCAUGGUUCAAUAGUGAAAGACGGUUUUGCUGUCACUUAUAGAUGGAUCCGCGCCGCAUUAGCUAGUUGGUAAGGUAACGGCUUACCAAGGCAACGAUGCGUAGCCGACCUGAGAGGGUGAUCGGCCACACUGGAACUGAGACACGGUCCAGACUCCUACGGGAGGCAGCAGUAGGGAAUCUUCCGCAAUGGGCGAAAGCCUGACGGAGCAACGCCGCGUGAGUGAUCAAGGUCUUCGGAUCGUAAAACUCUGUUAUUAGGGAAGAACAAAUGUGUAAGUAACUAUGCACGUCUUGACGGUACCUAAUCAGAAAGCCACGGCUAACUACGUG
rnacentral:rRNA from 1 species